rnacentral:rRNA from 1 species
GAUGAACGCUGGCGGCGUGCCUAAUACAUGCAAGUCGAGCGAACAGACGAGGAGCUUGCUCCUCUGACGUUAGCGGCGGACGGGUGAGUAACACGUGGAUAACCUACCUAUAAGACUGGGAUAACUUCGGGAAACCGGAGCUAAUACCGGAUAAUAUAUUGAACCGCAUGGUUCAAUAGUGAAAGACGGUUUUGCUGUCACUUAUAGAUGGAUCCGCGCCGCAUUAGCUAGUUGGUAAGGUAACGGCUUACCAAGGCAACGAUGCGUAGCCGACCUGAGGGGGUGAUCGGCCACACUGGAACUGAGACACGGUCCAGACUCCUGCGGGAGGCAGCAGUAGGGAAUCUUCCGCAAUGGGCGAAAGCCUGACGGAGCAACGCCGCGUGAGUGAUGAAGGUCUUCGGAUCGUAAAACUCUGUUAUUAGGGAAGAACAAAUGUGUAAGUAACUAUGCACGUCUUGACGGUACCUAAUCAGAAAGCCACGGCUAACUACGUG